rnacentral:lncRNA from 1 species
AGGAAAUCCACCUUUUCCUGUUACACUUAGAGUAUCCCCUAUCCUCAGAGACCUUCUGAGGAAACUGAUUUGAACAAAACAGUGUUUUGAAGCUCUUCUUUUGACAGCUCAAAGCUGGGCUUUUCAGUUCUCCCUGUAUCUGCAUUUGGGGAAGCAGCAUGGCUCUGAGCAGGGCCGUGCAGUGCUGCUGUCCUGUUAUUGCUGCUGGAGCGGCCAGGAGCCUUGGGAGGGGCCAGGCGAGGAAGAACCGUACCAUUUAUCCUUAAUGUACCUUUGAUGCGGUCACUCCGUGGAGCUUGCAUAGAAGCUGGUAAGAGGGAAAUACAGAACUAGUGCCAUUUAAAAGCCACUUGUACUUUUUUUUCAUUUGGAUACCAUUCAUAUGAAAUAUCGUUUAAAUUCUAGGCUCAUUGCCAAGAGCUGCGUUGUUGAUGUUCGAUGUACUUUCCAUUAAAGCUCUGUAUUGGCAAACUGCUUCCUAGUGCUGCAGGCAUCAGCAGGGUGGGUCAUGCCAGGGCACUGCGCUGCCCCACUGGCGCUGUGCCACUCACUGUGCCCUCCAUCUCGCUCUGCGCGAAGCCUGGCUGGGUCAAUACCCACCGUGUGCAGUGUGAUUCCUCCUGACCCAAACGACAGACGGAGCGUGGUGCUUGUUCUGCUGUCACGAAAGCCAGCUCUUGCUUCUAAGCUUUCUGAAAGCUGGUAAUAACUCUUUUUUCCCAUACAGUGAAAGGCUUUUGGUCCUCCUUCAUUAUGCAGGUCAGACUGCUGUGUCACCCCAUUUAUACUGCUUUUUACCUACUUGGUCUGUUUUCAUAGAAGAUUGUGUUUGGAGACUCAGACCUCCAGAUGCCCAUAAGGAUUGGUAUUUCUUUGCAGCCCUUAAGGGAGCCAGAAUGCAGCCUCCUGGGGCACGGUGUGCUGCCUGUUUACAAAUCCUGCCCUUCUGUUAGGAUAGGGACAGAUUCUGCAUCCCAAAUGAACUACGAAAAUCCUCCACCUUACCCUGGCCCGGGCCCGUCGGCCCCAUACCCACCCUAUGCCCCACAGCCAGGUGGCCCUCCUGGCCCCUACCCCGGCUAUCCACCCGGACCCACAGGGCCGUACCCGCCAGGCCAGCCAGGCUAUCAAGGUUAUCCGCAGUAUGGAUGGCAAAAUGCACCUCCGCCUCCAGGACCAGUGUAUGCAGAUGGGCCUAAAAACACAGGUAUGCUUAGCAGCAGUGGUGCAGGGUGA